ACUGAACGCUGGCGGCAGGCCUAACACAUGCAAGUCGAGCGGUAGCACAGAGAGCUUGCUCUCGGGUGACGAGCGGCGGACGGGUGAGUAAUGUCUGGGAAACUGCCUGAUGGAGGGGGAUAACUACUGGAAACGGUAGCUAAUACCGCAUAACGUCGCAAGACCAAAGAGGGGGACCUUCGGGCCUCUUGCCAUCAGAUGUGCCCGGAUGGGAUUAGCUAGUAGGUGGGGUAACGGCUCACCUAGGCGACGAUCCCUAGCUGGUCUGAGAGGAUGACCAGCCACACUGGAACUGGGACACGGUCCAGACUCCUACGGGAGGCAGCAGUGGGGAAUAUUGCACAAUGGGCGCAAGCCUGAUGCAGCCAUGCCGCGUGUAUGAAGAAGGCCUUCGGGUUGUAAAGUACUUUCAGCGGGGAGGAAGGCGAUAAGGUUAAUAACCUUGUCGAUUGACGUUACCCGCAGAAGAAGCACCGGCUAACUCCGUGCCAGCAGCCGCCGUAA
rnacentral:rRNA from 1 species